GCCGGAAUAGCUCAGUUGGAAGAGCGGCGCAUUCGUAAUGCGUAGGUCGUAGGUUCGAUUCCUAUUUCCGGCACCA
rnacentral:tRNA from 1 species